CAAACGGUCCUUUUCAGGACCACCAAAAUAGUCCAC
rfam:Aedes albopictus isolate Foshan contig332868, whole genome shotgun sequence.